GAUAGCCACUAGAAAUGGUGGGUAAUACUGUAUAAUCCCUGCGGGGGAAAGAUUUAUCGCUACAUGAUGAGCCUAUGUUAGAUUAGCUAGUUGGUGGGGUAAUGGCCUACCAAGGCAGUGAUCUAUAGCUGGUCUGAGAGGAUGAUCAGCCACACUGGAACUGAGACACGGUCCAGACUCCUACGGGAGGCAGCAGUGGGGAAUAUUGGACAAUGGGCGCAAGCCUGAUCCAGCUAUGCCGCGUGAGUGAG
rnacentral:rRNA from 1 species